rnacentral:rRNA from 1 species
AGUGAACGCUGGCGGUAGGCCUAACACAUGCAAGUCGAACGGCAGCACAGUAAGAGCUUGCUCUUACGGGUGGCGAGUGGCGGACGGGUGAGGAAUACAUCGGAAUCUACUUUUUCGUGGGGGAUAACGUAGGGAAACUUACGCUAAUACCGCAUACGACCUACGGGUGAAAGCAGGGGAUCUUCGGACCUUGCGCGAUUGAAUGAGCCGAUGUCGGAUUAGCUAGUUGGCGGGGUAAAGGCCCACCAAGGCGACGAUCCGUAGCUGGUCUGAGAGGAUGAUCAGCCACACUGGAACUGAGACACGGUCCAGACUCCUACGGGAGGCAGCAGUGGGGAAUAUUGGACAAUGGGCGAAAGCCUGAUCCAGCCAUACCGUGUGGGUGAAGAAGGCCUUCGGGUUGUAAAGCCCUUUUGUUGGGAAAGAAAAGCAGCAGGUUAAUACCCCGCUGUUCUGACGGUACCCAAAGAAUAAGCACCGGCUAACUUCGUG